rnacentral:rRNA from 1 species
GACGAACGCUGGCGGCGUGCCUAAUACAUGCAAGUCGAACGCAGUGGGGACGGGUGAGUAACACGUGGGUAACCUCCCAUCAGAGGGGAUAACCCUUGGAAACAGGUGCUAAACCGAUACUGAUGGAUGGACCCGCGGUGCAUUAGCUAGUUGGUGAGGUAACGGCCCACCAAGGCGACGAUGCAUAGCCGACCUGAGAGGGUGAUCGGCCACACUGGGACUGAGACACGGCCCAGACUCCUACGGGAGGCAGCAGUGGGGAAUCUUGGGCAAUGGACGAAAGUCUGACGGAGCAACGCCGCGUGAGUGAAGAAGGUUUUCGGAUCGUAAAGCUCUGUUGUUAGAGAAGCGGUAUCUAACCAGAAAGCCACGGCUAACUACGUGCCAGCAGCCGCGGUAAUUC